GAUGAACGCUGGCAGCAUGCCUAACACAUGCAAGUCAACCUGAACUACGGUUUGGGUGCCGGACUGGUGAGUAACGCGUAUAGAACUUGCCUCACAGAUAGGGACAACAUUUGGAAACGAAUGCUAAUACCUGAUCUUAUGAUUAUAUGGCAUCGUAUAAUAAUGAAAGCUAUAUGCGCUGUGAGAGAGCUUUGCGUCCCAUUAGCUAGUUGGAGACGUAACGGCUCACCAAGGCGAUGAUGGGGAGCCAGCCUGACAGGGUGAACGGGCACAAGCGGACAGAGGAGCGACCAUUAGGGAAUCUUGAGGCAGGGGUGGAAGAUUGAGGAAGCUAGGCCGCGUGUGUGAUGAAGGUCUUCUGAUUGUAAAACGCUGUUUUUAGGGAGGAAAAGAGGUUUAAGUAGGGAAGAAAGUAAUGACGGUACCAACAGAAGAAGUGACGGCUAACUACGUG
rnacentral:rRNA from 1 species